AGAAAACAUCCAACUUCCACAUUUCACCUAACCCCACAAGGCAACCUAACCUAAUCCUACCCCACUGCCACCCCCACCCACAUCAAACUAAGGGAGGUUCGCAUUGGUCCCCCAGGGCAUAUCCCAACUGGCAAAGAUGAGGGCGCUUCAAGGUUGGCAGAUUAGAGGUCGUAAGUUCGAUUCCUGGAAGGCUCUUGGAAGGCAGAUAUUUUCCUAGAAGGCAGGAACUCUACUGGAAGGUAAGGUGCAAAGAUGGGAAACGACUUGUUUGACACUUUAGCAGAUCAGUUGGGGGGCUCUUGAGCACUAGUCAGUUUGGGGCACAACCUGAAGUUUAACAUGUCUGCAACUUGAGGGGCUAAUGUAUAGAUUCCAGGAUUUAGUCACUUAAAGUGGAUACCUGGAUAUAAAAAAAAAAAAAAAAAAAAAGGAGGUUCGCAGUGGCCAACGCCGUCAUUAAAGCAAAAGGCACGCUCAAAAUUCCAAACCCAUGAUAUGAACGAGAAAGGGUUUUUUCCACUGUCGCCUCACCUUUGUUUCCUCCAUUCUCGUCAAAUUUUUG
rnacentral:lncRNA from 1 species